rnacentral:rRNA from 1 species
GACGAACGCUGGCGGCGUGCCUAAUACAUGCAAGUCGAGCGGACGUUUUUGAAGCUUGCUUCAAAAACGUUAGCGGCGGACGGGUGAGUAACACGUGGGCAACCUGCCUUAUCGACUGGGAUAACUCCGGGAAACCGGGGCUAAUACCGGAUAACAUCUAGCACCUCCUGGUGCCAGAUUAAAAGAGGGCCUUCGGGCUCUCACGGUGAGAUGGGCCCGCGGCGCAUUAGCUAGUUGGAGAGGUAAUGGCUCUCCAAGGCGACGAUGCGUAGCCGACCUGAGAGGGUGAUCGGCCACACUGGGACUGAGACGCGGCCCAGACUCCUACGGGAGGCAGCAGUAGGGAAUCUUCCGCAAUGGACGAAAGUCUGACGGAGCAACGCCGCGUGAGUGAUGAAGGGUUUCGGCUCGUAAAGCUCUGUUAUGAGGGAAGAACACGUACCGUUCGAAUAGGGCGGUACCUUGACGGUACCUCAUCGGAAAGCCACGGCUAACUACGUGCCAGCCGCCGCCGUAA